rnacentral:rRNA from 1 species
AAUAGAUACCCGGGGUAGUCCAUGCCGUAAACGUUGGGCACUAGGUGUGGGGCUCAUUCCACGAGUUCCGUGCCGCAGCAAACGCAUUAAGUGCCCCGGCCUGGGGAGUACGGCCGCAAGGCUAAAACUCAAAGGAAUUGACGGGGGCCCGCACAAGCGGCGGAGCAUGCGGAUUAAUUCGAUGCAACGCGAAGAACCUUACCAAGGCUUGACAUGCACGGGAAGCCACCAGAGAUGGUGGUCUCUUUGGACACUCGUGCACAGGUGGUGCAUGGUUGUCGUCAGCUCGUGUCGUGAGAUGUUGGGUUAAGUCCCGCAACGAGCGCAACCCUCGUCCCAUGUUGCCAGCGGGUUAUGCCGGGGAUUCGAUGGGAGACUGCCGGGGUCAACUCGGAGGAAGGUGGGGAUGACGUCAAAUCAUCAUGCCCCUUAUGUCUUGGGCUUCACGCAUGCUACAGUGGCCGGUACAAAGGGCUGCGAUACCGUAAGGUGGAGCGAAUCCCGAAAAGCCGGUUCUCGAGUUCGGAUUGGGGUCUGUACC